rnacentral:rRNA from 1 species
UGGGGAAUAUUGCACAAUGGGCGCAAGCCUGAUGCAGCCAUGCCGCGUGUAUGAAGAAGGCCUUCGGGUUGUAAAGUACUUUCAGUCGGGAGGAAGGUGGUAAGGUUAAUAACCUUGGCAAUUGACGUUACCGACAGAAGAAGCACCGGCUAACUCCGUGCCAGCAGCCGCGGUAAUACGGAGGGUGCAAGCGUUAAUCGGAAUUACUGGGCGUAAAGCGCACGCAGGCGGUUGACUGAGUCAGAUGUGAAAUCCCCGGGCUUAACCCGGGAAUUGCAUCUGAUACUGGUCAGCUAGAGUCUUGUAGAGGGGGGUAGAAUUCCAUGUGUAGCGGUGAAAUGCGUAGAGAUGUGGAGGAAUACCGGUGGCGAAGGCGGCCCCCUGGACAAAGACUGACGCUCAGGUGCGAAAGCGUGGGGAGCAAACAGG